rnacentral:rRNA from 1 species
UACGUGGGGAGCAAGCGUUGUUCGGAUUUACUGGGCGUAAAGGGCGCGUAGGCGGCCACCGCAAGUCAGUUGUGAAAUCUCUGGGCUUAACCCAGAAAGGUCAACUGAUACUGCGGGGCUAGAGUGCAGAAGGGGCAACUGGAAUUCUCGGUGUAGCGGUGAAAUGCGUAGAUAUCGAGAGGAACACCUGCGGCGAAGGCGGGUUGCUGGGCUGACACUGACGCUGAGGCGCGAAAGCUAGGGGAGCGAACGGG